CGACCGGCGCACGGGUGCGUAACGCGUAUGCAACCUACCCAUAACAGGGGGAUAACACUGAGAAAUUGGUACUAAUACCCCAUAACAUCAGGACCGGCAUCGGUUCUGGUUGAAAACUCCGGUGGUUAUGGAUGGGCAUGCGUUGUAUUAGCUGGUUGGUGAGAUAACGGCUCACCAAGGCAACGAUACAUAGGGGGACUGAGAGGUUAACCCCCCACAUUGGAACUGAGACACGGUCCAA
rnacentral:rRNA from 1 species